rnacentral:rRNA from 1 species
GACGAACGCUGGCGGCGUGCUUAACACAUGCAAGUCGAGCGGUAAGGCCCUUUCGGGGGUACACGAGCGGCGAACGGGUGAGUAACACGUGGGUGACCUGCCCUCAGCUCUGGGAUAAGCCUGGGAAACCGGGUCUAAUACCGGAUAUGACUCCAUGACGCAUGUUGUGGGGUGGAAAGCCUUGUGCGGCUGAGGAUGGGCCCGCGGCCUAUCAGCUUGUUGGUGGGGUGAUGGCCUACCAAGGCGACGACGGGCAGCCGGCCUGAGAGGGCGACCGGCCACACUGGGACUGAGACACGGCCCAGACUCCUACGGGAGGCAGCAGUGGGGAAUCUUGCGCAAUGGGACGAAAGCCUGACGCAGCGACGCCGCGUGAGGGAUGACGGCC